rnacentral:rRNA from 1 species
UUGCCAGCAUUUAGUUGGGCACUCUAAGGGGACUGCCGGUGAUAAGCCGAGAGGAAGGUGGGGAGUGACGUCAAGUCCGUCAUGGCCCUUACGGGCUGGGCUACACACGUGCUACAAUGGUGGUGACAGUGGGCAGCGAGCACGCGAGUGUGAGCUAAUCUCCAAAAAGCCAUACUCAGUUCGGAUUGCACUCUGCAACUCGAGUGCAUGAAGUUGGAAUCGCUAGUAAUCGCGGAUCAGCAUGCCGCGGUGAAUACGUUCCCGGGCCUU